CAAGUGAUUAUCUUGCCUCAGCCUCCCGAGUAGCUGGGAUUACAGACACGCGCCACCCUGCCUGGCUAAUUUUUCUAUAUUUAGUAGACACUGGGUUUUACCAUGUUGGCCAGGAUGGUGUUGAUCUCCUGACCUAGUAAUCCACCCACUUCAGCCUCCCAAUGUGCUGAGAUUACAGGCAUGAGCCACCAUGCCUGACCCUAUCUUUCAUAUUUUAAAAAUCUUUUUACCCCAUAUCAUCCUUCAGCUACCAUCCUAUUUCUAUGCUCUCCUUUAUGGCAAACCUCUUUGAAAGAGCUCUUUGUUCCCGUUGUCUUUUCCCUUUCUCCCCGAGACAGCCCUUGGAUGUAAUCAUGAGUCAUGUGAAGUGACACUGCAGCAAUACUGACAGUCCUUUAAAUUGUGCAUAUAGAUAUUUACUUUUUCCAUAAGAUUCUUUAUUCUUAUCAUCUUGAUUAAUGUUUUUAUCUGCAGUGAAUUUGUUAGCAAGUUAAUGUACUCUUGUCAAUAAAAUGGAAGAUCACAUGAACUUUUCCCUCCCCAUUAAUUGUUUCCCAUCAUUACAGACGUUGGGUAAAAUUAGAAGUAUUUAUACUAUUUAAAUAAUGCCUAAACUAUUAUUUUUAAGUGUUACAGAUAAACUGCUUAUAGUCCACAACUGUUAUGAUUAUCUUAAUGAAUGAAUCAUGGGCUCUGAAACAUGGGAAUAACUUAUAAUUGAGAAAUAAUAUUGAUCAUACCACUGCACUCCAGCCUGGGUGACAGAGCAAGAUUCCAUCUCAAAAAAAAUUAUAAUAUUAAUGUUCAAGGAGCUCAAAUUCUAUUGGCAGAAUUCAGGAUAGAAAUCCUCACUAGAGAUAAAAGUUUUUGAGUAAUCAUCAUAUGAAUAGUCCAUUGUUCAAAGAUUGUUUGUUGACUUGUCUCUCCUUGUAUAUUGGUUGGAAAUCAAUCCCUUGCAUACAUCAGUCUCUCUCUGAGACUUUUCUAGUCCGUUGGGAAAAAAUGUGAAUUCCUCUAUUAAUAACACAUUGUUUAAAUGCAAACAGUUUUGAUAUUUCCUGAUAAAUGGAGGAACAAAUAAAGAAACGGUAGGUUAUAAAAUUACUAUUGUUAUAUUAUCAUCUAUAUAUUAAUAGUUUUUCUUUGUUUAUAUAUGUGGACCUUUGAAAUCAUGUAACUCUUGUUUUCAUAUAGGUGUGCUGAAGCCCUAUCCCCAAGAUGACUAUAUUUGGAGACAGGAUUUUUGGAGGAAUAUUUCAUCUUUUGGUUUAGAAAUUCAAAGCAUUCAAGUUUAUUAAGACAAUUGUAUUUCUGUAAAAUAUCUAAUUUGGAUUCCUUGAUGGAGGACAAAAUUGCCACAUGUGACCAAUCUACCAUGGACAGCUAAUACCCCAAUUAUCACUUGACCAGGAAGAAAGGACCAAAGAGAGACAAUGUUUUCUCUUAUACACAUUGUUUGCACAUUGCUCGUUAACACCUCCAGGACAGAGCAUCACCAUGAAAUUCUCUAUUGAGCAGUAAAGACAGACAGAGAGAGAGAGAGAAGAAAAAAGAAACAACAGCCUGGAAGUAGCUUUUGUCUUUCACCACUAUUCACUAUUGAGAUGGUAACUAUAGUAAGUGGUAGGUGGUGGCACUAGAGCACUCUAAUUUGUGUAUGGGAUUUGGGACGGAGGGGGAGAAAAUAUUAUAUAAUAGGGAUAAAAUUGGCCCUAAAGUCUUUCUUCAUCCUGUAAUGCAUUGAAGAUAAUAGUACUGUCAUAACAAGUUGGUCUUAGAUGCUUUGAACAAAAUACAUAACAUGGAAGAAGUAAGUGAACUAGCACUACCUUUAGGGGAAAUUCUGCAAUUGCCUAAGUAUAAAACCAUUUCUAAACACUUCUCUGACAUUUCUUCUAGUACCAAGACUUCAGCUUAUAAAAAUAACUAAAAACGUUUGAAAUCACACAAUCAUGUAAUUGAUGGAAUUAAUUGUUGAUAAACAUGAAUUAUUUCUCAAAAUGAUGAAUCUGGUCAUUAACCAAUCUUGUAUGUUAUAUUCUGAAGUUCACUCUUCAGUUUUCUAUAUAUAGAAUAGUUGUGAAAAUUGAGUGGGAGCCUUGGCCACAGAAAUGAAAACUCUGAAUUGGGUCAAACACUUCAGUGAAUGUAACAAUAUAGACACAAUUAGUAACAAAAUUUAUUUGAAGUGAAUAUGGGGAAGCCUCUGAAAGAAAAAAAUGGUGAUAGUUUUUAAUAAAUUAGUCAAAUACUUUGAAAUAGCCAUAGUUGAAUUGAACAACAAGUUUUUGUUUUGUUUUUUUUGUUUUGAGUUUUAAUAGCUAUAAAAUGAGAGAGGGAUUGUCAUGCUGCCGUGAAAUGGAUAUAAACAAUUUUCAGCUGAGACUCUGACCAAAAAAAUUACUCAGGGAGUACAAUUAGAACAUUCGCAACACAAAGGGAUCAUGAAUGCUUGAGGUGACGUAUCCCCUGCUACCCUCGGGAGCUUACAAAAUAUUGCUUGAGGUUAGGAAGAAAGACAUCCUUUGAAGAUAAAAGGGCAUCUCCAUUUCCGAACUCACUCUCUAAUUUCAUGCUGUACAGGAAGCAUAAUGCUGGCAUCUGCUCGGCUUCUGGGGAGGCCUCAGGAAACUUUUAAUCACUGCAGAAGGCGAAGGGGAAACAGGCAAGACUUACUUGGCAGGAGGAGAAAGGGUAAAGCUGGAAAAUGAAAGUAAUUUUCCAAGGUGGCCAAAGACUGUUGCCUACCUCUGAAUUUUUAGCAUCUGACACUGCUUCUAAAUUACAUGAUGGUUUGGACUACUGCUUCCUGCAAGACAGGGUUUCACUCUGUCACCUAGGCUGGAGUACCAUGUUAUGAUCACAGCUCACUGCAGCCUCAACCUCCCAGGCUCAAGUCAUCCUCCCACCCCCUGAGUAGCCGAGACCACAGUGUGUGCCACCAUGCCCAGAUAAUAUUUAUUUUUAUUUUUUUGUAGAAAUAGGGUCUCAUUAUGUUGCCUAGGCUGGUCUCAAACACCUGGGCUCAAACUGUCCUCUUAAUUUUUUAAAAACUAAAAAAUAAAUAUAACUUCUGAAGCUCUUCAAUCUAUUUUGAGUUUUCAUAUAAUAUUUUCUUCAACUUUGACUUGUGUGUGUUGUUUAGCUCUGCUGGUGGCUAAUUGUAUUAGUCUGUUCUCAUGCUGCUAAUAAAGACAAUAAAGACAUACCUGAGGCUGGGUAAUUUAUAAAGGAAAGAGAUUUAAUUGACUCACAGUUCCACAUGGCUGGGGCGGCCUCACAAUCAUGGAAAAAGAUGAAGGAAGAGCAAAGGGACAUCUUACAUGGUGGCAGGCAAGAGAGCAUGUGCAGGUGAACUCUCCUUUAUAAAACCAUCAGAUCUUGUGGGACUUACUCACUAUCACAAGAACAACAUGGGAAAGACCCACCCCCAUGAUUCAAUUACUGACCACCAGGUCCCUCCCAUGACACACUG